rnacentral:tRNA from 1 species
UAGUCAGAAACGACUGUUAUCGUAGAAGGUUUCGGCCCUUCCUUAGGUGGUGUAACCCACCCUGACUAU